rnacentral:misc_RNA from 1 species
GGGGGCAAACUCAAAUUAUUACAUGAAAAAGAAAAUUUUGGGGGACAGUGGGGCAAUCGUCUUCACUGCCCCCACCCUAGAUCUGUCCUGGUUAUAUAGAUAAUACUUGAGACUAGAUUACUGAUGGACUACACUGGAUUUAAAAUAUUUAUAGGUGGCUCUAACUGGAGGAUGGCCAUAUUCACUGGUUAUUGAGUCUUUCUAAUAUUUUCCCUUGUUAUGGUUUGUUAGAGACUACGGACAUGCCGAGAAU